rnacentral:rRNA from 1 species
UACGGGGGGGGCAAGCGUUGUUCGGAAUUACUGGGCGUAAAGGGCGCGUAGGCGGCCAACUAAGUCUGACGUGAAAUCCCUCGGCUUAACCGGGGAACUGCGUCCGAUACUGGAUGACUUGAGUUCGGGAGAGGGAUGCGGAAUUCCAGGUGUAGCGGUGAAAUGCGUAGAUAUUCGGAAGAACACCAGUGGCGAAGGCGACUCGCUGGACAAGUAUUGACGCUGAGGUGCGAAAGCGUGGGGAGCAAACAGG